UGGGGGCUCCAUUGAGAUGCGGAAUAAAUGGCAAGGGGAAAGCAGGCUUUGCAUCUUAGUCUUGCUGAUAUUACAUUUCCUGCUUCUGUGACAUUUAUCCCCCCAACUCAAAUAAAAAAGUACUUUUUGAAUGAGUGGGCAGUAGCUCUUAGAAAAAAGUAUCACUGAAAACAGGCAAUGGGAAUUACGUUUUAGAAAGAAAACAAGAAUUGCAUUUGAAAUCAACAUCAGAAAUUUUGUUUCUAAAAUGCAUUUUAGAAAAAA
rnacentral:lncRNA from 1 species